CACUUGAGCGAUAUAAUUAACCGAGGAUCGAGGCUGCCUACUCUCCUCCCUACGCCUCGCCAGCCCACUCGCCACACACACCCCGCCGCCUCUGCACUUACAGCCUCCUCGCAAGCUCAUCCUCGCCGCCUCCUCGCCUGCCCGUCCUGCCGCCAUGGCCACCAACGCGGAGUCUCUCAGUGCGGGUCGCCUUCAGGUUAGCGUCGUGUAUUGUGGCUCCUGAGGAUACGCCCCGAAGUUCCGCCUUCUGAAGAAUUUCCUUGAAGCGGAAUUCCCGGAUAGACUCCAUGUUGUGGGCGAGGGCACCACCGCCAUCACCAAGUACUUCGAGGUCACCGUUGGCACUCGACUUGUUCACUCUAAGAAGGCAGGCGACGGCCACCUGGACACCGAGGAGAAGCUGGCCCGUGUGGUAGCCGCCGUGGGGGAGAUAUUGGCCGAGUCCUGAGCCCUGAGAGCCACGACAGCGUCAGCGCAGCACCGGGGGGCGUGUGCCAGAUGAUGCCUUGAUCGCAAAGCCUUCACGAGGAGCGGCCGAGGCGGAGCACGCGACACACGCUGCCCUGUGCCCCGCGACCCUGUGUGGAGGGCUGGGCGCGCACACACACACACACACAUGCACCACUGCACAGAUAACAAAAUAAAGCUCAAACAUUAUACAUCC